rnacentral:rRNA from 1 species
GACGAACGCUGGCGGCGUGCUUAACACAUGCAAGUCGAACGGAAAGGCCCUGCUCUUGUGGGGUGCUCGAUUGGCGAACGGGUGAGUAACACGUGUGUAACCUGUCCUUGACUUUGGGAUAACUUCAGGGAACUGGGGCUAAUACCGGAUAUGAGCUCCUGCUGCAUGGUGGGGGUUGGAAAGUUUCGGCUGUUGGGGCUGGACUCGAGGUUUAUCAGCUUGUUGGUGGGGUAGGGGCUUACCAAGGGUUUGACGGGUAGCCGGCCUGGGAGGGUGACCGGCCACAUGGGGACUGAGAGACGGCCCAGACUCCUACGGGAGGCAGCAGUGGGGAAUAUUGCACAAUGGGCGGAAGCCUGAUGCAGCAACGCCGCGUGCGGGAUGACGGCCUUCGGGUUGUAAACCGCUUUCGCAUGUGACGAAGCGUGAGUGACGGUAAUGGGUAAAGAAGCACCGGCUAACUACGUG